CAGUCGCCGCGGUAAUACCGAGGGUGCAAGCGUUAAUCGGAAUUACUGGGCGUAAAGCGCGCGUAGGUGGUUCGCCAAGUUGGAUGUGAAAUCCCCGGGCUCAACCUGGGAACUGCAUCCAAAACUGGCGAGCUAGAGUAUGGUAGAGGGUGGUGGAAUUUCCUGUGUAGCGGUGAAAUGCGUAGAUAUAGGAAGGAACGUCAGUGGCGAAGGCGACCACCUGGACUGAUACUGACACUGAGGUGCGAAAGCGUGGGGAGCAAACAGGAUUAGAUACCCCCGUAGUCCCUGUCUCUUAUAC
rnacentral:rRNA from 1 species